rnacentral:rRNA from 1 species
ACAGAUUGAACCAGAGUGUGUUUCUAUUGAAAUGCUUUGUGAAAUGCAAAAAAGUUUCACGAAUAAGGACUGAGGUAAGACUAGUGCCAGCCGCCGCGGUAAUACUAGCGGUCCAAGUCGCAGCCAUUUUUAUUGGGUCUAAAACAUCCGUAGCUUGUCUAAUAAGUUUCUUGUGAAAUUUUAUAUCUCAAAUAUAAAGCGCGCAAGAAGUACUAUUAAACUAGAGACUGGAAGACGUAAGAAGUAUGUUCGAAGUAGCGGUAAAAUGUUUUAAUCUCGGACAGACUCACAAUAGCGAAGGCAUCUUACGAGGACAGUUCUGACAGUAAGGGAUGAAGGCUAGGGGCGCAAAACGGAUUAGAUACCCGUGUAGUCCUAGCAGUAAACACUGCACACUAAACAUUAGUACCUCCUCGAGAGGUAUUAGUGCUGAAGGGAAGCCGAAGAGUGUGCUACCUGGGAAGUAUAGCCGCAAGGCCGAAACUUAAAGGAAUUGGCGGGGAGACACUACAACAGGUGACGCGUGCGGUUCAAUUAGACUAUACACCGUGAACCUCACCAGGAGCGACAGCAGGAUGAAGGUCAGUCUAAAGGGCUUACCUGACACGCUGAGAGGAGCUGCAUGGCCGACGUCAGCCUGUGCCGUGAGGUGACCUGUUAAAUCAGGUAACAGGCAAGACCCACAUACAUAUUUGCCACGUGCACCAUAUGUAGAUCGCCUUGGUAACAAGGAUGAAAGUGUGGGCUACGUUAGGUGAGUACAGCCCGAAUCCCCUGGGCAACACGCGCGCGUCAAUGGUGAAUACAACGGGAUGCGACUCUGAAAAGAGAAGCUAAUCUCUUAAAGUUCAUCUCAGUCCAGAUUGAGGUUUGCAACUCAGCCUCAUGACGCUGGAAUCUGUAGUAAUCGUUUGUUAUCAGCGAACGGUGAAUACGUCACUGUCUCUUGCACACACCGCCCG